GAUGAACGCUGGCGGCGUGCCUAAUACAUGCAAGUCGAGCGAACAGACGAGGAGCUUGCUCCUUUGACGUUAGCGGCGGACGGGUGAGUAACACGUGGGUAACCUACCUAUAAGACUGGGAUAACUUCGGGAAACCGGAGCUAAUACCGGAUAAUAUUUCGAACCGCAUGGUUCGAUAGUGAAAGAUGGCUUUGCUAUCACUUAUAGAUGGACCUGCACCGUAUUAGCUAGUUGGUAAGGUAACGGCUUACCAAGGCAACGAUACGUAGCCGACCUGAGAGGGUGAUCGGCCACACUGGAACUGAGGCACGGUCCAGACUCCUACGGGAGGCAGCAGUAGGGAAUCUUCCGCAAUGGGCGAAAGCCUGACGGAGCAACGCCGCGUGAGUGAUGAAGGUCUUCGGAUCGUAAAACUCUGUUAUUAGGGAAGAACAAACGUGUAAGUAACUGUGCACGUCUUGACGGUACCUAAUCAGAAAGCCACGGCUAACUACGUG
rnacentral:rRNA from 1 species